CGGCCCAGACUCCUACGGGAGGCAGCAGUGGGGAAUUUUGGACAAUGGGCGCAAGCCUGAUCCAGCAAUGCCGCGUGAGUGAAGAAGGCCUUCGGGUUGUAAAGCUCUUUUGUCAGGGAAGAAACGGUAGAGGCUAAUAUCCUUUGCUAAUGACGGUACCUGAAGAAUAAGCACCGGCUAACUACGUGCCAGCAGCCGCGGUAAUACGUAGGGUGCAAGCGUUGUCCGGAAUUAUUGGGCGUAAAGAGCUCGUAGGCGGUUUGUCGCGUCUGCUGUGAAAUCCCGAGGCUCAACCUCGGGCUUGCAGUGGGUACGGGCAGACUAGAGUGCGGUAGGGGAGAUUGGAAUUCCUGGUGUAGCGGUGGAAUGCGCAGAUAUCAGGAGGAACACCGAUGGCGAAGGCAGGUCUCUGGGCUGUAACUGACGCUGAGAAGCGAAAGCAUGGGGAGCGAACAGGAUUAGAUACCCUGGUAGUCCACGCCGUAAAC
rnacentral:rRNA from 1 species